CCUACGGGAGGCAGCAGUAGGGAAUCUUUCACAAUGGGCGAAAGCCUGAUGGAGCAACGCCGCGUGCAGGAUGAAGGCCUUCGGGUUGUAAACUGCUUUUAUAAGCGAGAAAUAUGAUGGUAACUUAUGAAUAAGGAUCGGCUAACUACGUGCCAGCAGCCGCGGUCAUACGUAGGAUCCGAGCAUUAUCCGGAGUGACUGGGUGUAAAGAGUUGCGUAGGUGGCAUAAUAAGUAGCUAGUGAAAUCUGGUGGGUCAACCAUUCAGACUAUUAGCUAAACUGUUAAGCUCGAGACCGUUAGGGGUAACUGGAAUUUCUAGUGUAGGAGUGAAAUCCGUAGAUAUUAGAAGGAACGCCAAUAGCGUAGGCAGGUUACUGGGACGGUUCUGACACUAAGGCACGAAAGCGUAGGGAGCAAACGGGAUUAGAUACCCCAGUAGUC
rnacentral:rRNA from 1 species